AUUGAACGCUGGCGGCAGGCUUAACACAUGCAAGUCGAGCGAGCGGCGGACGGGUGAGUAAUGUCUGGGAGACUGCCUGAUGGAGGGGGAUAACUACUGGAAACGGUAGCUAAUACCGCAUACCCUCAGAUGUACCCAGAUGGGAUUAGCUAGUAGGUGGGGUAAUGGCUCACCUAGGCGACGAUCCCUAGCUGGUCUGAGAGGAUGACCAUCCACACUGUAACUGAGACACGGGCCAGAAUCCUAAGGGAGGCAGCAGUGGGGAAUAUUGCACAAGGGGCGCAAGCCUGAUGCAGCCAUGCCGCGUGUGUGAAGAAGGCCUUCGGGGUGUAAAGCACUUUCAGCGAGGAGGCGUUACCCGCAGAAGAAGCACCGGCUAACUCCGUGCCAGCAGCCGCGGUAAUUC
rnacentral:rRNA from 1 species